rnacentral:rRNA from 1 species
GCCCAGACUCCUACGGGAGGCAGCAGUGGGGAAUAUUGCACAAUGGGGGGAACCCUGAUGCAGCGACGCCGCGUGGGUGAAGGAGCGUUUCGGCGCGUAAAGCCCUAUCGGCAGGGAAGAAGGAGGACGGUACCUGACUAAGAAGCCCCGGCUAACUACGUGCCAGCAGCCGCGGGAAUACGGAGGGGGCAAGCGUUAUCCGGAUUUACUGGGUGUAAAGGGGGCGCAGACGGCAGCGCAAGCCAGGAGUGAAAGCCCGGGGCCCAACCCCGGGACUGCUCUUGGAACUGCGCGGCUGGAGUGCAGGAGGGGCAGGCGGAAUUCCUGGUGUAGCGGUGAAAUGCGUAGAUAUCAGGAGGAACACCGGUGGCGAAGGCGACUUUCUGGACUGUAACUGACGUUGAGGCACGAAAGUGUGGGGAGCAAACAGGAUUAGAUACCCGAGUA